CCUGACGGUAGUCGUAUGCUCGUCUCCGAGACUAAGCCAUGCAAGUCCAAGUACACGUCCUUGAACGACGGAAACUGCGAACGGCUCAUUAAAUCAGUUGCGAUCUACUCGGCGUUCCGCGCCGCCGGAUAACCGUAGUAAAUUCUAGGGCUAAUACGUGCGAAGCGCCCGAAGCCGCGAGGCGACGGGCGUUCUCGCCGGAUGUAGGAACCGACCCGGGGACCGCCGGGGGCAACCCCGGCGCCCCCGAGACGGGGCGAACCACGGUGAAAUGACGGAUCGUCGGCCCCGCGCCGGCGACUCGCCGAAUGAGUUUCUGACCUAUCAACUCGAGACGGCGGGGUAGAGGCCCGCCGCGGUAACGACGGGUAACGGGGAAUCAGGGUUCGAUUCCGGAGAGGGAGCCCGAGAAACGGCUACCACUUCCAAGGAAGGCAGCAGGCGCGCAACUUACCCUAAUCUCGAUUCGAGGAGGUAGUGAC
rnacentral:rRNA from 1 species